rnacentral:misc_RNA from 1 species
GACGAACCGUGCAAACGUUAUUCGGAAUCACUGGGCUUAAAGCGUGCGCAGGCGGCUCAGAAAGUUGGGUGUGAAAUGCCUCGGCUCAACCGAGGAAUUGCGCCCAAAACUACUGGGCUUGAGGGAGUUAGAGGUGAGCGGAACUCACGGUGGAGCGGUGAAAUGCGUUGAUAUCGUGAGGAACACCGGAGGCGAAAGCGGCUCACUGGGGCUUCACUGACGCUCAAGCACGAAAGCUAGGGGAGCAAACGGG